UGUCGCAGUUACGGGAUGUUGCCAGGAUCGGCCUCGAAGACAGCGACAGGUGCGUGGAUGGCCCCAGGCGGGCUUUGUGUUCUAAUCGCCUGUCGCCUUCAUUAGCAGCAGCCGUGAUGAGACGGGUAGUCGGGGUUGGAUGUGCUGCUGAGUGGACGCACCAGACAAAGACACUUUGCAGCUUUUUAUGAAGAUAAGACAGUCUUAUACCCUGAAAUUCCUGGCGCUCCUGGCAGUGUGUGGUGGUCCGAAGAACCUCUACAGCCCAAGACCCGAUGGGCUGAUGAUUUGAGGUAAACGUACUGAAGUCAAAUCCUAAUUCGGAGCUUCGUUGGCACGCCAGAGGAGGAGAGCAGUGAAUGCUGACGUGUGCGAGUGUUCUCCUCAGAUCCUCUUUUUGGGCGACUCGGGACAUUCAGCCUCUUUAUUAGUGCAAAGCUAGAGCUUCCCCCUUCCAGCCACUAGAUGGCGCCUAAAGCUCGCAGCAGCGACGAGGCUGUGACGUCAUGCAGGUCAAGGCUGCAAAUAACAAGUGAUGCAAACAGCUUUUUCUUUUUUUCUUUAAAAAAACAUACUUUGUAUGUUUUGAAAUAAAUUAAAGUGUCUAGGCUGUCAGGGUGAAAAUGACUAUUUGCAUGCAUUCCCUGGGGCCCUGUCGCAUAUUUGUGUGCGGCUUUAAUAAACCACUGAACAGGGACAAGCUGUAAGCGGCGGUGCCGGUAAUGCACUUGGACGGCGAAGGAGCCGUAAAUCACAUUUAGUAUCAGACUUGAUGCUUUUUAGUGACUCUUCUUAUUCGUGUGGGGAAAAGCUACUUUAAAU